rnacentral:lncRNA from 1 species
CACUGAUUAUUUCUUAGAAGGAAAAACGAUACUAUCUUUUUUGGACACUGCACCUAGGAAUUGACUUUUAGAGUUAGUGGUUGAUUAUUAAUUCCAUACUUUUAAGUAUAAAAUGUUCAUUAAUAGUAAAACACUACUUCUUUUUAGAGUAAAGAAAGAGAUGUAUUCUUGGUAAAGGAACACCCAGAUCCAGGCAGUAAAGAUCCAGAAGAAGAUUACCCCAAAUUUGGACUUUUGGAUCAGGACCUUAGUAACAUUGGUCCUGCUUAUGACAACCAAAAACAGAGCAGUGCUGUGUCUACUAGUGGGAAUUUAAAUGGGGGAAUUGCAGCAGGAAGCAGCGGA